rnacentral:misc_RNA from 1 species
CGCACAUUGCGCCCCCUGGUAUUCCGGCGGGCAUGCCUGUUCGAGCGUCAUUUCUACCCUCAAGCUCUGCUUGGCAUUGGGUGGCGGCCCCCUCACCCGGGGCCCCCCCGAAAAUCAGCGGCGAUGCGGCCGGGCUCCCAGCGCAGUGACUUUUUUAUUCUCGCUGAUUGGACCCCCGGGCGACACAUGCCGGACGGACCCCCACUCAUACUUUCAAGAUUGACCUCGGAUCAGGUAGGGAUACCCGCUGAACUUAA